rnacentral:lncRNA from 1 species
AUUGUAAGUAACGGUACUAAUGAGGGACGGAUUUUUAUGUCCGAAAACGUUAAAAAAAAUUUUUUAAAAUACCUCAAUAAAUUAUUUCUCUUUGCAUGAAGUGCUAGUUUUUUGCCUUAUUGUAUAGGUUUUCAUUGUUCCACUGAGCUAAAAUGUGCCUUGAUGAUCCACAAGAUAUCUUCCAUGGACAAGAUUUAUCCACUUCAUUCUGAUAAGAAAAGUCAAUGGAUAAGUCAGUCAGGUUUCCCUGUUGGCAGCAAGCAACUGGUGGUUGUAGCUGAUCUUAUAUGGGUAACACUGCACCAUCUUUCUCAAUGUCUUCCAAUCUACACCAUAAAAAAUAGUUGUUACAACACAUUUGACUGCAACAUAUCUGCUUAUAUUGAUGAAACUGGUUUUUCAUUGCUUGCAAUGCUACAACUGCUUAGUGAUAAUUUUUAGUGUUUUUUUUAUAUAAGUGUCUUUUGUGUGUUCUGAAAUGCUG